rnacentral:rRNA from 1 species
AUUGAACGCUGGCGGCAUGCCUUACACAUGCAAGUCGAACGGUAACGGGCCUUCGGGUGCCGACGAGUGGCGAACGGGUGAGUAAUGUAUCGGAACGUACCUUUCAGUGGGGGAUAACGUAGCGAAAGUUACGCUAAUACCGCAUAUUCUGUGAGCAGGAAAGCAGGGGAUCGCAAGACCUUGCGCUGAUUGAGCGGCCGAUAUCAGAUUAGCUAGUUGGUGAGGUAAAGGCUCACCAAGGCGACGAUCUGUAGCGGGUCUGAGAGGAUGAUCCGCCACACUGGAACUGAGACACGGUCCAGACUCCUACGGGAGGCAGCAGUGGGGAAUUUUGGACAAUGGGGGCAGCCCUGAUCCAGCCAUGCCGCGUGAGCGAAGAAGGCCUUCGGGUUGUAAAGCUCUUUCGGCCGGGAAGAAAUCGUAUCAGCUAAUACCUGGUGCGGAUGACGGUACCGGCAUAAGAAGCACCGGCUAACUACGUGCCAGCAGCCGCAGUAAUAC